GACGAACGCUGGCGGCGUGCUUAACACAUGCCAGUCGAACGGAAAGGCCCUGCUUUUGUGGGGUGCUCGAGUGGCGAACGGGUGAGUAACACGUGAGUAACCUGCCCUUGACUUUGGGAUAACUUCAAGAAACUGGGGCUAAUACCGGAUAGGAGCUCCUGCUGCAUGGUGGGGGUUGGAAAGUUUCGGCGGUUGGGGAUGGACUCGCGGCUUAUCAGCUUGUUGGUGGGGUAGUGGCUUACCAAGGCUUUGACGGGUAGCCGGCCUGAGAGGGUGACCGGCCACAUUGGGACUGAGAUACGGCCCAGACUCCUACGGGAGGCAGCAGUGGGGAAUAUUGCACAAUGGGCGGAAGCCUGAUGCAGCAACGCCGCGUGCGGGAUGACGGCCUUCGGGUUGUAAACCGCUUUCGCCUGUGACGAAGCGUGAGUGACGGUAAUGGGUAAAGAAGCACCGGCUAACUACGUG
rnacentral:rRNA from 1 species